rnacentral:rRNA from 1 species
UGAACGCUGGCGGCAGGCCUAACACAUGCAAGUCGAGCGGAUGAGAAGAGCUUGCUCUUCGAUUCAGCGGCGGACGGGUGAGUAAUACCUAGGAAUCUGCCUGGUAGUGGGGGACAACGUUUCGAAAGGAACGCUAAUACCGCAUACGUCCUACGGGAGAAGGCAGGGGACCUUCGGGCCUUGCGCUAUCAGAUGAGCCUAGGUCGGAUUAGCUAGUUGGUGAGGUAAUGGCUCACCAAGGCUACGAUCCGUAACUGGUCUGAGAGGAUGAUCAGUCACACUGGAACUGAGACACGGUCCAGACUCCUACGGGAGGCAGCAGUGGGGAAUAUUGGACAAUGGGCGAAAGCCUGAUCCAGCCAUGCCGCGUGUGUGAAGAAGGUCUUCGGAUUGUAAAGCACUUUAAGUUGGGAGGAAGGGCAGUAAGCGAAUACCUUGCUGUUUUGACGUUACCGACAGAAUAAGCACCGGCUAACUCUGUGCCAGCAGCCGCGGUAAUACAGAGGGUGCAAGCGUUAAUCGGAAUUACUGGGCGUAAAGCGCGCGUAGGUGGUUCGUUAAGUUGGAUGUGAAAUCCCCGGGCUCAACCUGGGAACUGCAUCCAAAACUGGCGAGCUAGAGUAGGGCAGAGGGUGGUGGAAUUUCCUGU